rnacentral:lncRNA from 1 species
AGCAACCCAAAGUUGACUGGGAGACGACGGCCUAGACCUCUCACGAACACAUCGCAGCAUCCUCCAUGUGCCUCAUCCUGUGGUACCUGUUCUUAACCUGUGGGGGGGUGUGAGACAGCAAGAGUGAGCUCACAUACGUUCAUCGCUCAACAAGUUGUGGGGAAUAAUGUGCAUGAACUCGCCAAAGGUGGGAGCUCACGUGAAGUGUAAGGCUUACCAAAGAGGAUGGUUGAAGCUGAGCAUUGCUUUUAAAGUUGGUCAAAAUUUUAUUAGCAAUUACUAAGUAUAAGUAAAUACCAACCCAAUUAAAUAGUAGAACAAAAGUAACAACAACAUCACCCGCGAUGCAAUGCAUAUGACAAAUUGAAUUUAGUUCCAUAAAUUAAUCAUCAGAGAGUCCUGAGAUGCUCAUGACCGUGAGCUCGGCUAGUAUACCAGUUUUACACUCUGCAGAGGUGGUACCCUUUAUCCACAAGUCAUGUUACCCGUCUGCCAAGGGAUCGCUGCCAAGGGAUCGCGACUUCCCAUACACCUCUACCGAGGAGGCGAGGCAGGGUAACACUACGAGGCCUUUACAAAGUUCCACUAGCUUCAGAAAACCCGCUACAGUUUAUAGGAAGCUCCAAUGCAGGGUUCUUGCCUGACCGCCAUCGCAGCAAAAUCAACCAAGGACCUCCCUACACUGACCACUCCCCUACUGCCCUUGCCCCUUUCGGGUAAGGUAGUCCUCCACUAGCUUUCCUAAUUAAUCAGCCAAGGGCGUCCAUAAACCCUUGUGGUGGCACGUGUUUCUCAAGUUAAGCUCUAUGUUCCAAUUAACAUUAAUGAUCUUGACAUGAACAGUAAAUAACCACGGAUAACAAAAGUAUAAUCAUGAAUAAUGUGUAUCUCAAUGCCCAAAACCACAUAUAGCACUAGCAAGUACUACCCAAAAAGUUCAGUGGUAAACAAGGCAUAAAGAUAGACAAACUAGGGUAACCUAUUAGGUCCCAUCAAAAUUAACCUAUGCAGAUCAUUAUGAUUAAUUAGAACAUGAGUGGGUAAAACGAAGUGAUCAAGGGCACAACUUGCCUGGCACUUGACAUUCCAGGUACCAGGAUGAUCUUCAGGUAGCUCGUAACCUCGCGCUAGUCGUAGCAAUACAAACAAGCAUGGUAUAGGCAAAAUUAACAUCACACCAAACAUAAGAACAAACUAUAUAAGAAUAUUCUACGCAUCGCUACAAGAUCGUGGGAACGAGAAUCACUAAAUUCGGAGUUACGGUUAUGGAGUUAUGAAUUUCCGAAGUUUGUAUGUGCUAGCCACAAAAUUAAUUGAGUAAUAAAUUCUAGUAUGGGUUUCAUGUUAAAACAGUGUUACCAAGUAGUAGAAAAUAUUAAUACAAAAUUAUAGGAACUGGAAUAGAUCAAUUUAGAGUUAAAAUAAAUUAAAUAUGAAUUAAACAAUUCUUUGGAUUUAUUUUUAUACCAAUAAUCAUUUCCUCCAUUUAUUUUAUACAUUUACAGACCGCGGCUCUAAUUUAUAAAAAGUUCACGGGCCAUAGCGUAUGAAUCUGGACCUAACCGUGAUGGUUUUAUAACUGAGAUGGAGUCCGGGUUUAUUCUUAAGAAACUCGGGGACUCACACGUGAAAUCCCCCAGACACAGAGAACUCCGCACAGGAUGGCGGGUUGAUUCCCCAUAACCCAAGGGGCUCUUAAGCAAAAAGCCAACGACGAAGAGGUAAGGAACAACCAGAGCCGUUGGAUUAAAAGGAUAUGGUCCAGAUUAGAUUGUUUUAUAAAUCUAACCGGUACGCAUCCCCAGUCGUGGGAUUAGAGAUAUACGCUUAGGAUUUCAAUACCUGACACAGUUCAUUUUUAUUCGUCGAGAUUCGAUCCAACGGCGCACAUCUCAUCACGCGAGCAGGCACGCCAGAUUGAAUCCCAACCACUAAUCCCAGGACGGACGGUGCAGGGGCUUCUUCUUCAUCCGCCCAGACGCAAGAGAUGAGAGCGCCCAGGGCGGCGGUGCCAUUGCUGGUGUAAACCUUCCCAUUGAUCCGGCGUGCUAAACUUCAAGGAAAAACGUUCUACCCCACACGGAUACCCUAGCGAGUCACUUCGAGCCAUCACACUGGGGAUUGGGAUGAUAUCCCAGCCAGUCGUCGACAAGAAGGAGCUCCCCGCUCAUAUCCCGUCGGCCAACAGACCACGGCCGAUACCCUGCCCAAAAUCCAUAACCGACCAACACUAUACGAUGCUGGGACCCAGGCGAACAAGGUUACAGCGCCAUACCAGAAUUCAAAGCGUGAGAUCUAGCCAUGGCGGCGUGCUGCACAGCGGCGUUCCCCCGGUCGCUCCACCCUUUGCCCACACCGAUGGUGCUCUGUUCAUCAGGACAGCCUCGGUG